CCAAAGGCCCUCUUUAGGGCCACCAAUACUAAUUGUUAUCAUCUCU
rfam:Strongyloides venezuelensis genome assembly, scaffold: SVE_scaffold0000009